AGCGCUAAAACAAUGCAGCCUGAGUCCCUUCACUUCCCUGUGUGUGUGUGUGUAGCUGAGGGACACUGAAGCCACACUAACCCUAACAGCCUCCCAGGAAGAGGCUCAGCCCAGGGCAGGCAGCCUCCCAUUCUUCAGAGCCCUCCAUCUCCAUCCUCUGUUGGUCCUUCUUUCCUGUCUUUCUCCUCAUCUUCCACCCAGGUUUGCGUCUCUCUUUGUCACUCCUGCGCUUCCCCCCCUCCCCCGCCCCUUACUCUCAUUUCUGGGAGAUUUCUUUUGCCCCAUACCUCACUUCCACAUCACAUUUCCCACUUCUAAAAAAGAAAAAAAAAAAAAAACGUCUUUGGCCAAAGAUCCAUAUGUUUUGAUUGGGAUCUGCUCCCCUCAACCCUUGCCCCUCUCGGCCAGCCCCCGCCCCUCCCUCUCUGCACCCUGCCCCUCCCCCUCUGUACCCCACCCCUCCCUCAGGCCUCGGCUUUCUCUUGACAGAUGGGAGGGCAGUGGGCACUCCCUCUUUAAAACAACAUUUAAUCGCCGUUUUCUGUUCUUGGACAUCAAAGCUGGGGCUUAGGCACUGCACUGGGGUCCCGGCGGCGCGGGCUCUUGGGGAGAGGAGGGAGCAGAGCUGAAGCCCAGAGUUAACAGAAGCCUGCUCAAGACCCACAAGAGUGUGGCUGAUCAAACAAAGAAGAACAAAUCUAAGGACUUCUCCCUCCCACCAGCACCUCCUCUCCCUCCAUCCACAACCAUCCAAUGCCUUCCACCUGGCUGCCAGCAGAGUCCUCUGGCCCCAGCAUCAACCCAUCCUCCCUUCCAUCUUCCAUCCUGUACAUCCUGCAAUGAAUGUAUCCCCCCUCACUCUACAAAAAACAUGUUUUUGAAAACUCC